CUGUAUUCCAAUUUAGCACUAGAUUGAAAGACUAUACUCUGCUACUUACUUCUCGAAGAUACCAGAUUACCUCCAAUAAAGACACAAUACUCGGUAGUUGAUCUCGUGUUAGCCUUAGAUUCAAUCCAAUCUGCAUCUGCAUAUGAAAAAUUACUAUAUAAUAAGCUUCGCCCUAGAGCCCUCUUCAAAUAACACAAGAUUUGUUUCAAAACUUCUUAAUGAGCAAUAGUUGGGGAAGAUAUAAAUUGACGCACCAUAUUGACUAAGCAUGUAAUAUCAAGACGAGUUAUUGUAGGGUAGUUUAAUUUACCCACUAAUCUCCUGUAUUUUUCUAGAUCUGCAAACAACUUAGCAUCCUCUGCUACAAGUUGCAAAUUCGGAGUCAUUAAUGCAUUGUAAGGCUCGGCAUCUAAUUUUCCCUAUUUUUGCCAAUAGAUCAAGAAUAUAUUUUCUUUGAGACAAGAAGAUACCUUUCUUAUUUCUCAUAACUUCAAUACCCAAAA
rnacentral:misc_RNA from 1 species